rnacentral:rRNA from 1 species
CCUACGGGUGGCAGCAGUGAGGAAUAUUGGUCAAUGGGCGUAAGCCUGAACCAGCCAAGUCGCGUGAGGGAUGAAUGUCCUAUGGAUCGUAAACCUCUUUUAUAAGGGAAUAAAGUGCGGGACGUGUCCCUUUUUGUAUGUACUUUAUGAAUAAGGAUCGGCUAACUCCGUGCCAGCAGCCGCGGUAAUACGGAGGAUCCGAGCGUUAUCCGGAUUUAUUGGGUUUAAAGGGAGCGUAGGUGGCGUUUUAAGUCAGCGGUGAAAGUUUGGGGCUCAACCAUAGAAUUGCGGUUGAUACUGGGAGGCUUGAGUAUGUUUGAGGCAGGCGGAAUGCGUGGUGUAGCGGUGAAAUGCUUAGAUAUCACGAAGAACCCCGAUUGAGAAGGCAGCCUACCAAGCCAUGACUGACGCUGAUGCACGAAAGCGUGGGGAUCAAACAGGAUUAGAUACCCGAGUAGUC